AGGACGAACGCUGGCGGCGUGCCUAACACAUGCAAGUCGAACGCGCUCCAUUCGGUAGCAAUACUGAUGAAGAGCGAGUGGCGAACGGGUGAGUAGCACGUGAGCAACCUGCCCCGAAGACCGGGACAACACCGGGAAACCGGUGCUAAUACCGGAUAUCCCUAUCGGACCGCAUGAUCUGAUAAGGAAAUGGAUUCCGCUUCGGGAGGGGCUCGCGGCCUAUCAGCUAGUUGGUGAGGUAACGGCCCACCAAGGCAUCGACGGGUAGCUGGUCUGAGAGGACGAUUAGCCACACUGGGACUGAGACACGGCCCAGACUCCUACGGGAGGCAGCAGUGGGGAAUCUUGCGCAAUGGGCGAAAGCCUGACGCAGCAACGCCGCGUGGAGGACGAAGGCUUUCUGAGUUGUAAACUCCUUUCAGCAGGGACGAUAGUGACGGUACCUGCAGAGAGCACCGGCCACUACGUGCCAGCAGCCG
rnacentral:rRNA from 1 species